AGCAGCCGCGGUAAUUCCAGCUCCAAUAGCGUAUAUUAAAGUUGUUGCAGUUAAAAGCUCGUAGUUGAAUUUCGGGAUCAAUAUAUUGGUCGUGCCUUUGGUAUGCACUGGUAUUAUUGAUUUCUACCUUCUGACGAACCAUGAUGUCAUUAAUUUGGUGUCAUGGGGAAUCAGGACUGUUACUUUGAAAAAUUGAGUGUUUAAAGCAAGCACACGCUUGAAUACAUUAGCAUGGAAUAAUGAAAUAGGACGUUUGAUCUUAUUUUGUUGGUUUCUAGGAUCGACGUAAUGAUUAAUAGGGAUAGUGGGGGCAUUAGUAUUCAAUUGUCAGAGGUGAAAUUCUUGGAUUUAUUGAAGACUGACUACUGCGAAAGCAUUUGCCAAGGAUGUUUUCA
rnacentral:misc_RNA from 1 species